rnacentral:rRNA from 1 species
UUGACCUCGAAUCAGGUAGGAAUACCCGCUGAACUUAAGCAUAUCAAUAAGCGGAGGAAAAGAAACCAACAGGGAUUGCCCCAGUAACGGCGAGUGAAGCGGCAACAGCUCAAAUUUGAAAUCUGGCUCUCGGGCCCGAGUUGUAAUUUGUAGAGGAUGCUUUUGGUGAGGUGCCUUCCGAGUUCCCUGGAACGGGACGCCAUAGAGGGUGAGAGCCCCGUCUGGUUGGACACCGAUCCUCUGUAAAGCUCCUUCGACGAGUCGAGUAGUUUGGGAAUGCUGCUCUAAAUGGGAGGUAUAUGUCUUCUAAAGCUAAAUACCGGCCAGAGACCGAUAGCGCACAAGUAGAGUGAUCGAAAGAUGAAAAGAACUUUGAAAAGAGAGUUAAAAAGUACGUGAAAUUGUUGAAAGGGAAGCGCUUGUGACCAGACUUGGGCUUGGUUGAUCAUCCGGGGUUCUCCCCGGUGCACUCUUCCGGCUCAGGCCAGCAUCAGUUCGCCCUGGGGGAUAAAGGCUUCGGGAAUGUGGCUCUCUCCGGGGAGUGUUA